GGUGUGUUUAUUGGCGCGAAGCACACCGGGCAACGGACCCGCUGUUGCUUUGCCUCGGGCACUCUGUGCUGGCAACAGUUUUGGCGCCCAACGUGGGGCUCGAGGCUGAAAUUUAGCCUUGCCCGGACCCCUCUCGGAGGUCGACAGAUUGCGGCGACGACUGACACCCAGCGCGCCGGUGACUUUGCCGGGGGCCUCGGCGGAGACGUGGUUUGGUCGACCCCGGAGGGCACAACGGUGUAACACGCUCGAGUAGUGGAGAAGCAGCUGCGGGCGACGGUGGGGAACCGGUCCCAUGGAUAGGGCAACGGUGCAGAACCAGACCCUUGGAUAAGGUAUACCAGAGAUUUGCAGCCUCUCCCGCUGGAUGCCCCUGUCCACUCCUUGCAGCCAGGCGAUUCUGUUCUCGUUUGGACCUGGAAGGACAAGCCUCUCCAAGAGAAGUGGAAGGGACCCCACACCGUCCUGCUGGUCUCCCACACAGCAGCAAAGGUCGAGGGACACAAGAACUGGAUUCAUCACUCCUGUCUGAAGGCAGUGCCCGCUCCUGAACGGUGGACCGUCCUGCCUACGGAAAAGGACUACCAGCGAUGACCUGAGACUUAAACUGUUAUUCAAAAGACAAUAAGGCCUGCUGAGAAUGCCCUGUGGUCUCUUUGGACAGUCGCAGCGCACUCCCCGUGAAAACGCUAAGCGUUGGUUGUGUUUACUCUCACAGGGCUGGCCUAACCUGGUGGCCUGGUCCUUUUGUUUUUAAUCUUCCUACUAUUGGUAAUUGAUAUUUUGUGGGUAUUUGGGGAAUUGUAAUUGUUAGGCCCUAGGGUCACCUGCCCAGCAUGAGUUCAGGUCCAGGGUCUGCCACAGUGGUACUCUUUGCCAUAGGGACACUCCUUUCGUUACCUCCUGUUUCCCCCCAGGCACAUAUGGGAUGGAAAGGGAUCCCUACUAACUUGGAAACAAACACAUAUGAGUCCUUGAAGGUUUGCUUUGCUCAAGAGUUUAACCUCUCUAACUGCUGAGUAUGCUCCCAAAUCCCGCACCAUGCAGCAGGGUUACCCUGGAGGGUGGUCCCCCAAAAUUGGUCAGAUAUCUGUUGGGGAUGGUUCAGUAGGGGAAGAAAUACCUCGGGUACCCCCUUGUCACAAAACUGUACCAUUGAAUCCCAAUAUGCAUUAAGGGACAACCCCUGGCCGCCCCAGGCAGCGUAAAUCUUUGUAUGCCACCUCAGAGCCCAUUAAGGAAGGAGACAGGUUGGGUAUAAUCCUUCUCCCAUCCCAUGGGGUGGGACGGCUAACCCAAUUUUAUUGCAGGCUCUCUGUGUUUCUCACCACAUUCGCCAAUGAAACCUUGGCCAUAGAGAAGAGCCUUAACUCAGAGCUAUACCAGCUCCGGUUGCUGUCCCUGAAAAACAGACAGGCCUUAAAUUAUGUUUUAGCCUCCCAGGGCGGGGUGUGUGCGCUUAUUGGGAAUGAAUGUUGUACUUAGGUCCCGGAAAACUCACAGGACAUUAACAAGCACGUCCUGUCAGCCGAACAGGCUUUUGAGCAGUGGGAGGCCCAGGAAAGGGAACCCACAGGUUUCGAUUCCCUUUGAAGUUGGUUGCCCAACCUAGGAGGACUGGG